ACUAUCUAGACUCACGUACAAUAGGUGUCUCAGGUAACCCUUAAACAACCCUGAGGUGGCUAUUGAAUUGUCCCAGCACCAUUUGUUGAAGACUGUCAUUUUUCUGUUGAAUUGCCUUGAUACCUUUGUUGAACAUCAAUUAACCAUAAAUAAGUCAAGAUGGUGGCAUAAGUAGACUCUGAACUCACCUCCUCCCAUGGACACAGCCAAUUUACAACUACUCGUGGAAUAAUUACCCCUGAGAGAAAACUGAAAACUGGAUAAGAGGAACUCCUGCAACAAAAGACAAUACUAACUGAGGUGGAAGAGGCAGAAAUUCCCUUCUGGAGAGAAAAAAUACCACCUUCACAAGCCGCCAGCAUGACGGCCGCCCGGGAGCAGCCCAAAGGUAUACAGCCCUCC